rnacentral:rRNA from 1 species
UACGUAGGGGGCUAGCGUUGACCGGAAUCAUUGGGCGGAAAGAGCGUGUAGGCGGCCCGGUAAGUCCGCUGUGAAAGUCGGGGGCUCAACCCUCGAAUGCCGGUGGAUACUGUCGGGCUAGAGUGCGGAAGAGGCGAGUGGAAUUCCUGGUGUAGCGGUGAAAUGCGCAGAUAUCAGGAGGAACACCUAUUGCGAAGGCAGCUCGCUGGGACGUAACUGACGCUGAGACGCGAAAGCGUGGGGAGCAAACAGG